UGAGGUGUAGCUCAGUAGUAAAGCACUUGCCAAGUAUGCAGGAGGCCCUGGGUUCAAUCCCCAGCACCAG
rnacentral:tRNA from 1 species